GAUGAACGCUAGCUACAGGCUUAACACAUGCAAGUCGCGGGGCAGCAUGGGGGUUGCUUGCAAUCCCCGAUGGCGACCGGCGCACGGGUGAGUAACGCGUAUCCAACCUGCCCUUCACCACGGGAUAACCCGGCGAAAGUCGGACUAAUACCGUAUGUUGUCCAUUGACGGCAUCCGAUUUGGACGAAAGGUUUGGCGGUGAAGGAUGGGGAUGCGUCCGAUUAGCUGGACGGCGGGGUGACGGCCCACCGUGGCGACGAUCGGUAGGGGUUCGGAGAGGAAGGUCCCCCACACUGGAACUGAGACACGGUCCAGACUCCUACGGGAGGCAGCAGUGAGGAAUAUUGGGCAAGGGGCGUAAGCCUGAACCAGCCAAGUAGCGUGCAGGAUGACGGCCCUAUGGGUUGUAAACUGCUUUUAUGCGGGGAUAAAGUGGCCCACGUGUGGGUUUUUGCAGGUACCGCAUGAAUAAGGACCGGCUAAUUCCGUG
rnacentral:rRNA from 1 species